GACGAACGCUGGCGGCGUGCUUAACACAUGCAAGUCGAACGGUAAGGCCUUCGGGUACACGAGUGGCGAACGGGUGAGUAACACGUGGGUGAUCUGCCCCCUACUCUGGGAUAAGCCUGGGAAACUGGGUCUAAUACCGGAUAUGACCUCCUUCUGCAUGGUUGGUGGUGGAAAGUUUUUUCGGUAGGGGAUGAGCCCGCGGCCUAUCAGCUUGUUGGUGGGGUAAUGGCCUACCAAGGCGACGACGGGUAGCCGGCCUGAGAGGGCGACCGGGAACGCUGGGAAUGAGACACGGCCAAGACGCCUACGGGAGGCAGCUGUGGGGAAAGUGGCGGAAUGGGCGAAAGCCUGAUGCAGCGAUGCCGCGUGGGGGAUGACGGCCUUCGGGUUGUAAACCCCUUUCAGUCGGGACGAAGCGAGAGUGACGGUACCGAUAGAAGAAGCACCGGCCAAGUACGUGCCAGCCGCCGCAGUAAAAC
rnacentral:rRNA from 1 species